CCUGCCUCCGGAAUGUUGCUGGUGUGGCUGCUGUGUCACAUGUGCGUCAGUAGGUGGCAGAGAGGAGCGAGGUUACACUCAGUGUUCUGACCUGUGAACACCUGAAUGAUUAGAUUAUUAGCCUAACAUU